UACGGAGGGUGCGAGCGUUGUCCGGAAUCAUUGGGCGUAAAGGGCGCGUAGGUGGCGGGAUAAGCGUGCGGUGAAAGCUUGGGGCUCAACCCCGAGUCGGCCGUGCGAACUGUUCUGCUUGAGCACUGUAGAGGCAGGCGGAAUUCCCGGUGUAGUGGUGAAAUGCGUAGAUAUCGGGAGGAACACCAGUGGCGAAGGCGACUACCUGGCCUGUUCUUGACGCUGAGGCGCGAAAGCUAGGGGAGCAAACGGGG
rnacentral:rRNA from 1 species